GAAAUGCGAUAAGUAAUGUGAAUUGCAGAAUUCAGUGAAUCAUCGAAUCUUUGAACGCACAUUGCGCCCGCCAGUAUUCUGGCGGGCAUGCCUGUUCGAGCGUCAUUACAACCCUCAGGCCCCCGGGCCUGGCGUUGGGGAUCGGCGGAAGCCCCCUGCGGGCACAACGCCGUCCCCCAAAUACAGUGGCGGUCCCGCCGCAGCUUCCAUUGCGUAGUAGCUAACACCUCGCAACUGGAGAGCGGCGCGGCCACGCCGUAAUACACCCAACUUCUGAAUGUUGACCUCGAAUCAGGUAGGAAUACCCGCUGAACUUAAGC
rnacentral:misc_RNA from 1 species